GGGUAGCCGGCCUGAGAGGGCGACCGGCCACACUGGGACCGAGACACGGCCCAGACUCCUACGGGAGGCAGCAGUGGGGAAUAUUGCACAAUGGGGGAAACCCUGAUGCAGCGACGCAGCGUGCGGGAUGACGGCCUUCGGGUUGUAAACCGCUUUCAGCAGGGAAGAAGCGCAAGUGACGGUACCUGCAGAAGAAGUACCGGCUAACUACGUGCCAGCAGCCGCGGUAAUACGUAGGGUACGAGCGUUGUCCGGAAUUAUUGGGCAUAAAGAGCUCGUAGGUGGUUGGUCACGUCUGCUGUGGAAACGCAACGCUUAACGUUGCGCGGGCAGUGGGUACGGGCUGACUAGAGUGCAGUAGGGGAGUCUGGAAUUCCUGGUGUAGCGGUGAAAUGCGCAGAUAUCAGGAGGAACACCGGUGGCGAAGGCGGGACUCUGGGCUGUAACUGACACUGAGGAGCGAAAGCAUGGGGAGCGAACAGGAUUAGAUACCCUGGUAGUCCAUGCCGUAAACGUUGGGCACUAGGUGUGGGGGGCAUUCCACGUUCUCCGCGUCGUAGCUAACGCAUUAAGUGCCCCGCCUGGGCGWGUACGGCCGCAAGGCUAAAACUCAAAGGAAUUGACGGGGGCCCGCACAAGCGGCGGAGCAUGCGGAUCAAUUCGAUGCAACGCGAAGAACCUUACCAAGGCUUGACAUACACCAGACCGUUCUGGAAACAGUUCCUCCCCUUUGGGGUUGGUGUACAGGUGG
rnacentral:rRNA from 1 species